rnacentral:rRNA from 1 species
GUCUAUGGCCAUGCCACCCUGAAUAAGCCUGAUCCCAUCUGAUCUGAGAAGCUAAGCAGGGUAAGGCCUGGUUAGUAAUGGGAGACCACCUAGGAAGACCAGGUGCUGUAGGUG